UGGGGAAUAUUGGACAAUGGGCGCAAGCCUGAUCCAGCAAUGCCGCGUGUGUGAAGAAGGCCUUCGGGUUGUAAAGCACUUUUAUCAGGAGCGAAACGCUGUCGGCUAAUACCCGGCGGAACUGACGGUACCUGAGGAAUAAGCACCGGCUAACUUCGUGCCAGCAGCCGCGGUAAUACGAAGGGUGCAAGCGUUAAUCGGAAUUACUGGGCGUAAAGCGUGCGUAGGCGGUUUCUUAAGUCUGCUGUGAAAUCCCCGGGCUCAACCUGGGAAUGGCAGUGGAUACUGGGAGGCUAGAGUGUGUCAGAGGGUGGUGGAAUUCCCGGUGUAGCGGUGAAAUGCGUAGAGAUCGGGAGGAACAUCAGUGGCGAAGGCGGCCACCUGGGACAACACUGACGCUGAGGCACGAAAGCGUGGGGAGCAAACAGGAUUAGAUACCCUGGUAGUCCACGCCCUAAAGCGAUGCGAACUGGAUGUUGGUCUCAACUCGGAGAUCAGUNUCGGAAGCUAACGCGUUAAGUUCGCCGCCUGGGGAGUACGGUCGCAAGACUGAAACUCAAAUGAAUUGAC
rnacentral:rRNA from 1 species